AGAGUUUGAUCCUGGCUCAGAACGAACGCUGGCGGCGUGCCUAACACAUGCAAGUCGAGCGCGAAUGGAGCAAUCCUAGUAGAGCGGCGCACGGGUGCGUAACACGUGGAUAAUCUGCCUGGGUGUCUGGGAUAACCAGUCGAAAGACUGGCUAAUACCGGAUAAGCCCCCGGGAGCUUCGGCUCUUGAGGGAAAAGGUGGCCUCUGUAUACAAGCUAUCACAUCCAGAUGAGUCCGCGGCCCAUCAGCUAGUUGGCGGGGUAAUGGCCCACCAAGGCAACGACGGGUAGCUGGUCUGAGAGGACGAUCAGCCACACUGGAACUGAGACACGGUCCAGACUCCUACGGGAGGCAGCAGUGGGGAAUUUUGCGCAAUGGGCGAAAGCCUGACGCAGCAACGCCGCGUGUGUGAUGAAGGUCUUCGGAUUGUAAAGCACUUUCGACCGGGACGAAAACCCUCUGGCUAACAUCCAGGGGCUUGACGGUACCGGGAGAAGAAGCACCGGCUAACUCUGUGCCAGCAGCCGCGGUAAUACAGAGGGUGCAAGCGUUGUUCGGAAUUAUUGGGCGUAAAGCGCGUGUAGGCGCUUUGCAAGUCGGGUGUGAAAGCCCUCAGCUCAACUGAGGAAGUGCGCCCGAAACUGCAGAGCUUGAGUGCCGGAGAGGGUGGCGGAAUUCCCCAAGUAGAGGUGAAAUUCGUAGAUAUGGGGAGGAACACCGGUGGCGAAGGCGGCCACCUGGACGGUAACUGACGCUGANNNNCGAAAGCGUGGGGAGCAAACAGGAUUAGAUACCCUAGUAGUCC
rnacentral:rRNA from 1 species